rnacentral:rRNA from 1 species
GACGAACGCUGGCGGCGUGCUUAACACAUGCGAGUCGAACGGAAAGGCCCUGCUUGCAGGGUACUCGAGUGGCGAACGGGUGAGUAACACGUGGGUGAUCUGCCCUGCACUUCGGGAUAAGCCUGGGAAACUGGGUCUAAUACCGGAUAGGAGCCAUUUUUAGUGUGAUGGUUGGAAAGUUUUUUCGGUGUAGGAUGAGCUCGCGGCCUAUCAGCUUGUUGGUGGGGUAAUGGCCUACCAAGGCGGCGACGGGUAGCCGGCCUGAGAGGGUGGACGGCCACAUUGGGACUGAGAUACGGCCCAGACUCCUACGGGAGGCAGCCGUGGGGAAUAUUGCACAAUGGGCGCAAGCCUGAUGCAGCGACGCCGCGUGGGGGAUGACGGCCUUCGGGUUGUAAACUCCUUUCGCUAGGGACGAAGCUUUUUGUGACGGUACCUAGAUAAGAAGCACCGGCUAACUACGUG